ACUUACCUAUACUUUACUCUUAUCCUGUAACGCCUUGCAACCUAUAAUAGUCGAGACAUCCUAUUUUAAAUUAUCAAGUAAUACAUGCUUGUCAAAUUCAUCAUCAUCUAAUUCAACACAAUCAAAAUAUUCCUUACAAAUAUACAUAUAAAAGGCAUAACCUCUUCCACGUACUUACUUAUCAAGUACACUUAGCUUCCUAUCAACAUACACUAUACCAUAGUGAAUAACAAAGAUGUUCUUAUACAUGUGUCUUAAUUUUAGCUAUUAUGUCUGUAUGAGUAUAAUGGCAUUAAUCUCACUUAUUCUCUCCUUGUAUCCCGUAUGUAUUGGAUUCCACUAGUGGUGAAUCAUGUCCAGAUUCCUGCUUCACUGCAUCUGUAAAUAAACAGGAAUGAGCCUACGCAUGCCCAUAAAGUUAAAUUUAGAUUUAAACAAUGCAUUAAAAUCAAUAAAAUUCCUAAACCGAAGUCGCCCUCAACUCUUUCUUUCACUCCAGACAGUCCUCUUUUUCCCUUUAUAGGAAAAUUCUAGAUAUCUUAGACUCUCCCCAAAGCUCACAGGUACAAAUAACCCGUUAUCCACUUCCCUGACUUAUCCCUAAUAGUCUCUAUACUCUUUGUCAUCACUUUCCCACUCAAAUAGCCAUUUAUCCCUCUGCUUAUAUGGUUCCCAUCACAUUACUACCUAGAUUUCCCUUGAAUUUUAGUAUAAUUACCAUGGCAGCUCCUAUUUCAUAAACCAUAUAUUACCUCAUCCUUGGUCUACCCAGUCGCCCCUUUCAGCCACUCCUUUGUAGGUUAAAACACCCUCCCAACACAAUAACCAUCUGCUAUAUAUUCUCAGUUUUUAACCUUACCAUUUGCGAUUCCAUCUUUCACAUUCUAGUUUACCUAUUUCAGGGUAUUUUUCCUCACUCUUCAACCUAUGUUCAACUUAAUUUUUCCCACUCAUAGUCCCUAAGUGCUCAUUUUCUUCUACUUAAUAAUUUCAUACUAAUAUGCCUUCAAUCUAUAUGCUUACAUAGUAACCAGAAUGAUAAUAUCAACAAUCAUUCCACGCAUAUUCUAUUUUCACAUAUCUGCAAUCCUUUAGUUUUUUCCAUCAUUCUAUUUUCCAACUCAGCAUAUACCAUUUUAUAUUGAAUAUUAAACACAUAUUUAAACUAUAAUAGCUCAAACUCUCAAGUAGAGUCCUGACCAUACGCAUACCAUAUCAUGAUAAAAUAAUCUAUCA
rnacentral:lncRNA from 1 species